UAGGGAAUCUUCCACAAUGGGCGAAAGCCUGAUGGAGCAACGCCGCGUGAGUGAAGAAGGUUUUCGGAUCGUAAAACUCUGUUGUAAGGGAAGAACAAGUACAGUAGUAACUGGCUGUACCUUGACGGUACCUUAUUAGAAAGUCACGGCUAACUACGUGCCAGCAGCCGCGGUAAU
rnacentral:rRNA from 1 species